rnacentral:hammerhead_ribozyme from 1 species
AUCCAUAUGACGAGUCACAAAUGGGACAAAACGCGCGUCCUGGAU